CGCCUACUGAUAUUUUAACAUAGUAGGUACUGCCUGCCCAGUGACACCUGUUUAACGGCCGCGGUAUUAUGACCGUGCAAAGGUAGCGUAAUCACUUGUCUAUUAAAUCUAGACCAGUAUGAAUGGCAAAACGAAAGCUCAUCUGUCUCCCUAGGCCAGUUAGUGAAAUUGAUCUUCCCGUGCAGAAGCGGGAAUAUAAAUAUAAGACGAGAAGACCCUAUGGAGCUUUAAACCUACAUUAACUACUACAAUAAAAAUUUAAAUGUAGAUGUAAUUUAAGAUUUUAGGUUGGGGCGACCACGGAGGAUAAAUAAACCCCCGAGAAAUAAAGCCUAGAGAGACAUCUCUAGGCAAUAAUAAUAUUAAUAUAUUGACCCAGUAGCUGAUCAACGAACCAAGUUACCCUAGGGAUAACAGCGCAAUCCCUUCAAAAAGUCCUUAUUGACGAAGGGGCUUACGACCUCGAUGUUGGAUCAGGACCCCCAAAUGGUGCAGCAGCUAUUAAAGGUUCGUUUGUUCAACGAUUAAAGUCCU
rnacentral:rRNA from 1 species